AUAAUAUUACAGACUCGGUCCACAGGAAUCUGACAGAUGACGCUCCACAACACCAGAUACCAUGGAGAAAUAUGACCAUCUUCAUAUCUGUCCUGCUGAAUGUGCUUCUGAUCAUUGCAUUAAUAGGUUUGGUGAAGAGAUUCAUUGAUGCAACUGGAAAAUCUGCUGCUCAAAACUCAAAUAAUCCACAGUGUGCUGAAGUUGAUUUCUUCAUGAGCUCCAGAAACACCAGGCCUAGUCAGGAGCAGAGC